rnacentral:rRNA from 1 species
CCUACGGGAGGCAGCAGUAGGGAAUAUUGCUCAAUGGGGGAAACCCUGAUGCAGCAACGCCGCGUGGAGGAUGAAGGUUUUAGGAUUGUAAACUCCUUUUGUUAGAGAAGAUUAUGACGGUAUCUAACGAAUAAGCACCGGCUAACUCCGUGCCAGCAGCCGCGGUAAUACGGAGGGUGCAAGCGUUACUCGGAAUCACUGGGCGUAAAGAGUGCGUAGGCGGGGUAAUAAGUCAGAUGUGAAAUCCUGUAGCUUAACUACAGAACUGCAUUUGAAACUGUUACUCUGGAGUGUGGGAGAGGUAGGUGGAAUUCUUGGUGUAGGGGUAAAAUGCGUAGAGAUCAAGAGGAAUACUCAUUGCGAAGGCGACCUGCUGGAACAUUACUGACGCUGAUGCACGAAGGCGUGGGGAGCAAACAGGAUUAGAUACCCGAGUAGUC